rnacentral:rRNA from 1 species
CGUCGCGUGGGUGAUGAAGGUCUUCGGAUCGUAAAGCCCUGUCACCUGGGACGAAGGUCCUUGACACUAAUAGUGUCAAGGGCUGACUGUACCAGGAGAGGAAGCCCCGGCUAACUCCGUGCCAGCAGCCGCGGUAAUACAGAGGGUGCGAGCGUUAAUCGGAUUUACUGGGCGUAAAGCGUGCGUAGGCGGCUUUUUAAGUCGGAUGUGAAAUCCCUGAGCUUAACUUAGGAAUUGCAUUCGAUACUGGGAAGCUAGAGUAUGGGAGAGGAUGGUAGAAUUCCAGGUGUAGCGGUGAAAUGCGUAGAGAUCUGGAGGAAUACCGAUGGCGAAGGCAGCCAUCUGGCCUAAUACUGACGCUGAGGUACGAAAGCAUGGGGAGCAAACAGGAUUAGAUACCCUGGUAGUCCAUGCCGUAAACGAUGUCUACUAGCCGUUGGGGCCUUUGAGGCUUUAGUGGCGCAGCUAACGCGAUAAGUAGACCGCCUGGGGAGUACGGUCGCAAGACUAAAACUCAAAUGAAUUGACGGGGGCCCGCACAAGCGGUGGAGCAUGUGGUUUAAUUCGAUGCAACGCGAAGAACCUUACCUGGUCUUGACAUAGUAAGAACUUUCCAGA